rnacentral:rRNA from 1 species
GGGCUCACACAAGCGGUGGAUGAUGUGGCUUAAUUCGAGGCAACGCGAAGAACCUUAUCCUGGACUUGACAUGCUUGGAUUAACCCUAUGAAAGUAGGGCCACGCCUUCGGGUGGAACUUGCACAGGUGCUGCAUGGCUGUCGUCAGCUCGUGUCGUGAGACGUCGCGUUAAGUCGCUUAACGAGCGCAACCCUUGUCCUUAGUUGCCAGCACGUAAUGGUGGGGACUCUAAGGAGACCGCCGGUGUCAAACCGGAGGAAGGCGGGGACGACGUCAAGUCAUCAUGGCCUUUAUGUCCAGGGCUGCACACGUCAUACAAUGCAACAUACAAAGGGCAGCUAACCCCGCGAGGGG